rnacentral:rRNA from 1 species
AUUGAACGCUGGCGGCAGGCCUAACACAUGCAAGUCGAGCGAGCGGCGGACGGGUGAGUAAUGUCUGGGAAACUGCCUGAUGGCGGGGGAUAACUACUGGAAACGGUAGCUAAUACCGCAUACCAUCAGCUUUUCCCAGAGGGGAUUAGCUAGUAGGUGGGGUAACGGCUCACCUAGGCGACUAUCCCUAGCUGGUCUGAGAGGAUGACCAGCCACACGGGAACUGAGACACGGUCCAGACUCCUACGGGAGGCAGCAGUGGGGAAUAGUGCACAAUGGGCGCAAGCCUGAUGCAGCCAUGCCGCGUGGGGGAAGAAGGCCUUCGGGUUGUAAAGCACUUUCAGCGGGGAGGCGUUACCCGCAGAAGAAGCACCGGCUAACUCCGUGCCAGCAGCCGCGGUAAGUC